GACGAACGCUGGCGGCGUGCCUAAUACAUGCAAGUCGACCUUAGUGGCGAACGGGUGAGUAACACGUGGGUAACCUGCCCAUCAGAAGGGGAUAACACUUGGAAACAGGUGCUAAUACCGUAUACUGAUGGAUGGACCCGCGGUGCAUUAGCUAGUUGGUUGGGUAACGGCUCACCAAGGCCACGAUGCAUAGCCGACCUGAGAGGGUGAGCGUGCACGUUUGGACGGAGACACGGUCCAAACUCCGACGGGAGGCAGCAGUAGGGAAUCUUCGGCAAUGGACGAAAGUCUGACCGUGCAAAGCCGCGUGAGUGGAUGAAGUUUUCGGAUCGUAAAACUCUGUUGUUAGAGCAGCGGUAUCUAACCAGAAAGCCACGGCUAACUACGUGCCAGCAGCCGCGGUAAUUC
rnacentral:rRNA from 1 species